UCUUUGUAGCAUUUCUCUGUGUUUUUGGAGCUCUUCCUAGAUUACUAAACCCAGGAAAAUUGGCUGUUUCUCAGAUGUAGGUCACAACAGUGCUGUGAAAUCAUCCCAAGAUUUGUGAUCUCACUAGCGUCACAAUGGGUUCAAAAGGGAAUACUGAGUCCACUCAGUGGUCUCCUAUAACAUACCUUAGUUUUAGAAAUAAUAAGAAGUAACAACAGCAAAAUGGUCUUAAAUCCUGAUUAAAACCCUAUAUAUAAUACAAAGAACAAAAAAAAAAACACCAAGUCUUCUACGUAUAAAAGUCCUUUUCACCUUUUAAUACUGUUUGUAAAAUUCUUGAUGACAAAUGGCUAUAUAUUUGAUGUUUUCAUUUUUUGAUGGCACAGCUAUCAGAACAAAAAUAAUUCUCUUAAACACAUAACAUUUUUGCAAAUACAUAGUUUGCCUUGGCAUCUACAAGCAAAAUAUUUAAACUGAGGCAAAAUACUACAGUCAUUUCAAUGGAGCAUACUAUACUGCAUGUUGCUGAAAUCUCCCCCUAAAUCUUGCUGAUAGAAGACUCGAAUGAUAUGAAUAUGAGAUCUCUUUUCAGCAUGAAAGAACACUUGCACGGAAACAGCUUGUGUCGUGUUGUUGAUUUUGUGCCAGAGGAGUUAAGAUUGAUCUCAGCACACUCUGUGCCUUUCUCUUAACCAGCGGCAAUGAUCUUUGAAAACCCCAGAACAUGUCUACUUUACUAACAAUGAAGAAGCUGUGAGAAUAAAGAUCCACUAGGAAUAGUUGGACCUGAAGUU
rnacentral:lncRNA from 1 species